AACGAACGCUGGCGGCAGGCCUAACACAUGCAAGUCGAACGCUCCGCAAGGGGAGUGGCGCACGGGUGAGUAACACGUGGGAACCUACCUUCUGGUACGGAACAACCAAGGGAAACUUUGGCUAAGACCGUAUACGACCUCCGGGUGAAGAUUGAUCGCCGGAAGAGGGGCCCGCGUCCGAUUAGGUAGUUGGUGAGGUAACGGCUCACCAAGCCUUCGAUCGGUAGCUGGUCUGAGAGGAUGACCAGCCACACUGGGACUGAGACACGGCCCAGACUCCUACGGGAGGCAGCAGUGGGGAAUAUUGGACAAUGGGCGCAAGCCUGAUCCAGCCAUGCCGCGUGAGUGAUGAAGGCC
rnacentral:rRNA from 1 species